AGAGUUUGAUCCUGGCUCAGGAUGAACGCUGGCGGCGUGCCUAAUGCAUGCAAGUCGAGCGACGCAUGCCGGAGGGGUAACCCACUGGUAUGACGGAGCGGCGAACGGGUGAGUAACACGUGAGCAACCUGCCCCUCAGACCGGGAUAGCCCAGGGAAACCUGGAUUAAUACCGGAUACCCUCGGAGAUCCGCAUGGAUUUGCGAGGAAAGCUCAGGCGCUGAGGGAUGGGCUCGCGGCCUAUCAGCUAGUUGGUGGGGUAACGGCCUACCAAGGCAUCGACGGGUAGCUGGUCUGAGAGGACGAUCAGCCACACUGGGACUGAGACACGGCCCAGACUCCUACGGGAGGCAGCAGCAGGGAAUCUUGCGCAAUGGGCGAAAGCCUGACGCAGCAACGCCGCGUGGGGGAAGAAGGCCUUCGGGUUGUAAACCCCUUUCAGGAGGGAAGAAAAUGACGGUACCUCCAGAAGAAGCACCGGCCAACUACGUGCCAGCAGCCGCGGUAAUAC
rnacentral:rRNA from 1 species